rnacentral:rRNA from 1 species
GCCUAUUAGUGGGGGACAACGUUCCGAAAGGAACGCUAAUACCGCAUACGCCCUACGGGGGAAAGCAGGGGAUCUUCGGACCUUGCGCUAAUAGAUGAGCCUAAGUCGGAUUAGCUAGUUGGUGGGGUAAAGGCCUACCAAGGCGACGAUCUGUAGCGGGUCUGAGAGGAUGAUCCGCCACACUGGGACUGAGACACGGCCCAGACUCCUACGGGAGGCAGCAGUGGGGAAUAUUGGACAAUGGGCGCAAGCCUGAUCCAGCCAUGCCGCGUGUGUGAAGAAGGCCUUUUGGUUGUAAAGCACUUUAAGCGAGGAGGAGGCUCCUUUAGUUAAUACCUAAAGAGAGUGGACGUUACUCGCAGAAUAAGCACCGGCUAACUCUGUGCCAGCAGCCGCGGUAAUACAGAGGGUGCGAGCGUUAAUCGGAUUUACUGGGCGUAAAGCGUGCGUAGGCGGCUUUUUAAGUCGGAUGUGAAAUCCCUGAGCUUAACUUAGGAAUUGCAUUCGAUACUGGAAAGCUAGAGUAUGGGAGAGGAUGGUAGAAUUCCAGGUGUAGCGGUGAAAUGCGUAGAGAUCUGGAGGAAUACCGAUGGCGAAGGCAGCCAUCUGGCCUAAUACUGACGCUGAGGUACGAAAGCAUGGGGAGCAAACAGGAUUAGAUACCCUGGUAGUCCAUGCCGUAAACGAUGUCUACUAGCCGUU